GGGUACCCGGUGCGUGCUGGGAGCUGCAGUCCUCAGCCAAGGGCACGCUGGGAGCUGUAGUUCUCCGCGGGUGCGGUGCGGGACCCCGUCCCCCCGUGUCUCCCGGAGUGCUCGGGGUUGUCCCGGUGUCAGCCCUGCGCCGUCCCCUCGCUCACUCCUCUGUGUGCCACCUCCGGCUCGGCCACGCCGCCCGUUCCCGUCCUCCACGUCCCCUGCCGUGGGGUGGGACGGGCUCAGCUGUCCGACAGCGGCGGGAUCGUGGGGCGGGUUGGGCACCGGGCUCGGCUGCGCUGCCAUGGGGGGGGAGCAGUCGCUGGCAAUACCCCCGGAGAAGGGACCUCACCGCGUGGGCUGCGCGGACGUCAUGGUGGGCCAUACACCGCAGGGGCUCUUUUUCCGCCUCUUCUACCCCUGCGUGCCCCGGGACGGGGCCGAACGGCCGCUCUGGAUCCCGCGCUACGAGUACUGCACGGGCCUGGCUGACUUCAGCGGCCGCAGCCGGCGGUGGUGUGCUCCGCUGCUCAGCGUCGCCGUCGGCUCCUGCAGAGUGCCAGUGAGCUGGAAGGCACCUUUCAAAUCCUGCAGCAGCGGGUACCCGCUGGUCAUCUUCUCCCAUGGCUUGGGAGCCUUUCGCACUGUGUACUCGUCCAUCUGCAUGCAGCUGGCAUCCUGGGGCUUCGUGGUGGCUGUGCUGGAGCACAGGGACAGUUCUGCUGCCACGACCUAUUUCUGUACGGCAGAGGCCGUCCGGGAGCAGUGGAUCCCCCACCAGCAGGUGCCGCAGGGACAGAAGGAGUUUUAUUUUCGGAACAGUCAGGUUCAUCACAGAGCAAAUGAGUGUGCGCGAGCGCUUCAGCUCUUCCGGGACGUCAGGCGUGGUAAAUCCAUCCCCAAUGUCCUUCCUCAGGGCUUCGACCUCUCUGUGCUGAAGGACAGCAUUGACUUGACCAAAGCGGCCAUCAUGGGCCAUUCAUUUGGUGGGGUGACAGCCGUGCUGGCCUUGGUGAAGGAGCCUGGGUUCAGGUGCGCGGUGGCCCUGGAUGCAUGGAUGUUCCCCCUGGAGAACGUGCUCUACCCUGAGGUGCCCAAGCCUGUGCUCUUCAUCAACACUGAGAAGUUCCAGACCCCAGAAAGUGUGGCCAAAAUGAAGAGGCUGAGCUCCAGGAACAGCCAGACGAAGAUCAUAACCAUCCUGGGAUCUGUGCACCAGAGCCAAACUGACUUCGCCUUCCUCACCGGGAAGCUCAUCAACCGCGUCUUCAACGCGAGGGGCACCCUCGACCCCUACAAGUGCCUGGACAUCACCAGCCAGGCAGCUCUGGCCUUCCUGCAGAGGCACCUUGAUGUGAGAGAGGAGUUUGCUCGAUGGGACCGCCUCCUUGAAGGCAUCGGGGACUCUGUCAUUCCAGAAGCACCUUUCUGCCACUCCAACCUGUAGCUUGCUGGUGCGCGCCAACUGCUGGGAAUUCAGCUGCUCCUUGUCCAAAAUGUUCGGGGUCUGCCUCCAGAGGGUGGGAGUACCCCUAGGAGAGCAUGGCCUGGGGACUGUGCUUGCAGGAUGCAGCCACGGUGCCCACCAUGCUUCCAGGAAGCCCUCCCUGCCUGAGAGUCGCCUGCAGUGGCUGCUGGAGACUGCAAAGCUCAGGGAAUAAAACCCCUGGGGACAAGGACUUGCACUCACCUUGGUGACAAUGCCCUGCUUGCAUGCAUGGGGGGCGCUGGGCCCUGCGUGCCCAGCAGCAGUGGGUUCAGUGCAGGCUGGGGGGGAUCAAGCGAUGACCCAGCAUGAGGAAAGAUGUGACGAGGGUUCCAAUCAUGGAGGUGGUGAAAUCUGAUCAUGGUGCUGACCUGAGCACUGACUGCAAGUGCAAAAUUUGUGUGUGUGUGUGUGUGGGAGUAAAAGGAAGUGGCUGGUAGCUGGACGGGAGCAUCUUAGGGCAAGGCUGUGAGCAGGCUGUGGGCACAGGCCCGUGUUGGGAACAGGGCAGUCCAGGAGCACCUAUGGCUCAUUCCUAUGUAAUAGCAGAGAUGCUGGGGUGAGGGGUGCUGUGUAAGCUGGCUGCUGCCCUCAGCUGUCCCCAGGCAGCCUGGCACUUCUGGAGCCCAUGGAGCUGCACCGGUGGUGGCCCCACAGAUGUCCCCAGGCUCCUGUGGGCACUGGGGCCGGGAUGCAGCAGGCACUGCAGGACGCACUGCUCAGCAGCUGCUGCAUUGCCAAGUGGUGGCCAUCUGCUCCUCCUUUGUCCCUGCUGCUCCUGCUGGGGGCACACAUGGUAAGGGCAGUGUCAGCCCAGCGCCACGGCUCCUGCGCCGCAAGGAGAAGCCACAGGCAUGAAUCAUGGCACCGUACACAGCUGGGAUCCCUUGGGUGCCCUGCACUGGGGUGGUGGGAGCUAUUCCUCAUCCAGUGACAGCAAACCCAGGUCCUUGGGGAAAGGAAGGGGAAUGGGGAGCAGCAUCCUUCCUCUGUGCUCCAUCUGUGUCACCGUGAUGGCCAAAUCCUUUCCUCCUUGCCUCCUUUUAAUCAAGGAGCUAAGGGGAGGGCGGGGGAGGAAGGUGCAGCAGCAGAGGACUCAUCUCCAUGCAAAGCAAGGACUGGUGUGGACAAAGCUGCAAGACCUCAAUUCUUUUGAGGAUUCCAGAUAUGUAUUCGUGAACUUAUUUAUGCCCUCUCUGGUGCUGGGAGCGUGCUGGAGCAUGAUGCAGCGCUGGGAUCGAGGUACUGAAGGUGGGGAGGGGGCACUCGAGGUCACUGCCUGCAGAGCCCAUGGGGGAAUGCACCACUGCAUCCUGCCUAACAGUGAGAGACAGUGACUGGUGCGGAAAUCAAGUCCCAUCUUCCUCCCAGAAUUAGUGCUGCCGUGAUGUGCUCUGACAUUGCAGGGAGUGGCCCCAGCUCCGCGUGGCUGAGGGAGGCUAUAAAUUCUGCACGAGCUUUAUGUAAAGGCUCAGGGAUGGGGGGGUAUGGCUAUGGUUGGAGGGCAACUGCAACGUGUUAACCCUUCAGUGUGUGGAAAGCUGCUCAUUUCCACCUCCAGAUCCAGCCCUAGGCUUGCUGCUUCUGCUUCCAAACCCAGCCCAGAUUCCCCCCACGCAUCCUCCAUCCCUGUCUCCGUGCCAUGCCCCAGCCUGGAGGCCAGGGGCAGUGUGCACAGAAGCUGCACCACAAAUCCCCAGGUGUAGCACACAGCAGCGGUGCUCGCCCGGCUCCUGGGUUGAUGCGCUGUGUUGCUGGACCCAGCUGGAAGGUUUUUUUUUUUUUUUUGGCAGGAAGCAGCAGUUAAGGGUUACCAUGAUCUGGGAGCUGCUCCAGCACCUGUCUGCUAUCAGCUCUUGGUCACCCUGUCCUUACAGCACAGGGGGAGUAGCAAGGCCUGGAUGCACAGCACCCACCCCGCUUCCAGCCAGCACCUCUGGAGCAGGACUCACAUCCCUUUGAUCGGUGAGUAUAUGCGGCUGUUCACGUUGCUCUGUUUUUUUUCCAUUGGCAAAUCAGAACUUUACUCCGGGUGAAGUUCAAAGGAAAAAUCAACUUCCCCGUCGCAGAAGCAAGUUGUUGUCAUUGCUUCCAGGGCACCUGGAGCUGACAGCCCUGGCUGCUCACAGCCCCAAGGGACUCAGCAUCUCCCAGAGGCACCGCUGCCCUGGUGCUGGGUUGCAGGACAGGACCAGGGCAUGUGCUGCUCCUGCUGCGCUGCUGCUGCCCAUGCACGCUGGGCUCCAUUGAAAAGCAAAGCCGUGGGCAAAGCAGGCUGCUCUGCUCUUAGCCAACUGCAUCUGGAGUGUUCUGAGGGAAAAAUGGUUUGGUUUUUUUUGUCAGUUUUUGGUCUGAAGCCCCAUUGCAGGCAUUGAUGCUCUACUGACCCCAAACGGGACGAGAGAUGAUUCCUGAAUUAAAAGGACAGGAAGGAUGAAGGGAAACCGAGGCACUGGAGGAGGAAGAGGGCUGCGUUAGAGGGAUCAUUUUGGGUCAUUCCCCCUGAGUUUAGGAAGCACAGGCUGAGCUCAGCCCCUGAAGGGAUGGGAACCCCAGGUGCCGCAUCAGCCCCAUCUUGGGUGAUGCAGGGGCACCAUCCUCAGGUUGCUUUUGUCUCCUCAAAUCAAUAGCGGCUCUCUAACGAUGUCCAGCACCCAAGGCCUGGGUUGGGUUUCUGUCUUUUUUAUUUUUAAUUAAAUGAAGCACUUAGGUUAGCAGUCACAACGUAGGCAUGUCUCUCUGGGUAUUGAUUUUAGAGUACAGCAGCAGUUUGGUUUAUUGCAUAAAAGACAGCGACAUGUUUUCCCCCAGCAAGGCUGCCUUUGUUUGCCUGUUCUCACAGCUGUAGUGGACGUGCUCAGUCUUUUUUUCUUUUAAUAUAUGUAUCGAUUGAUUAGGAGCUCAAAUUAGUGGAGAAAAAAGGGAUCAGACAGCACGGAGCAAAUGUUAAGUGCAGGUAUUGUUUCCAUGCCGGUAUCGCUGAGUGAUUCCAGGCAGCCCACAGAGCCAGCGGGAUGGAGUGGGAAUUAACCCGUUUUGAAGCAGAAUUGUCAAUGGAGGCAGGAGAGGAAUUACUGAUUGUCCUGAAGGGAUCUUGAGGCUGAAAGCAGCUCAUGGCUGGACUGCAGUGGAAAGAUGCUUUAAAAUAUAUGUGUAUAUAUAAAUAUAUAUAUAAUUUAUUUGGCUCACAAAACAGAUAGGAAGGGGUUGUGUCCGUGGUGUCUGACACAGGUCUCAUCCACAGACAGCACUGUGGUUCUGCAUGGGGUGAUGCUUCCUGCCUUCGCACCCCGAUUUCACCUCGCAGUGCCCAUCCGAAGGAAGGCGCUGUAGAAUUUUCCCAGGCAGCAGAUCUCUGCAAGAAAUAAAGUCACAUUGGUCAC